AUUGAACGCUGGCGGCAGGCCUAACACAUGCAAGUCGAGCGAGCCGCGGGCGGGUGAGUAAUGUAUGGGGACUGCCCGAUAGAGGGGGAUAACUACUGGAAACCGUAGCUAAAACCGCAUACUAUCGGAUACUCCAUAUGGGCUUAGCUAGUAGGUGGGGUAAUGGCUCACCUAGGCGACGAUCCCUAGCUGGUCUGAGAGGAUGAUCAGCCACACGGGGACUUGGACACGGCCCAGACUCCGACGGAGGCAGCAGUGGGGAAUAUUGCACAAUGGGCGCAAGCCUGAUGCAGCCAAGCCGCGUGGAUGAAGAAGGCCCUAGGGGUGUAAAGUACUUUCAGUCGGGAGGCGUUACCGACAGAAGAAGCACCGGCUAACUCCGUGCCAGCAGCCGCGGUAAUUC
rnacentral:rRNA from 1 species